GACAGAGGAAGAGCCGCUGCUGCCGCUGGCUGCACCGCGACCGCUGCGGGCGCGGUUGCGAGCAAACCACCGCCGAUCACGCCAGCUUGUCCAACCGCCAGCAAGCAACCACAAAUCACCAAGAACUGAAAAACAAAGAAUCGAAACGGUACAACGAAGUUAUACCAGUUAUUAAGUAUCUUAAACGAAAACUACAGGGAAAGAAGACGAUGAAUCAUUUUGGUGCACCGUCAUGACAACAUUGUUUUUUCAUUCGGUUUCGAAGUUAAACGGCGGGCUUUCUCCGGCUCUUCGUAACGUUAGAAACGUUGCUUGGUAUGGUAGGAGCUGCUUUCUUCACCGAUUGGAAACGACAAACGAAUUGAAUGCAUCUAGUGGAUUUGUCAGCCUAUUUAUACGUAACCUCUUGUAAUCCUGUCCAGAUAGUUAACUUGAAACAUUUUUUCACCAAAAACUUGGUAUCAAGUGUCCGUCGACCAAAGACCAGCGUAUUGCAUAGAAGGUUUGCAACGAACCGGCAUUACAACACAUGCAUAUGACUAGAGAAAAUUUGAUAUCGUAAAACUCAAGUAGCAGAUUGCACUGUGAUCUUUCUAAAGAAGAUUUUUACUAUUCGACUAGCACGAAACGAAAUCGAUAACCAAACCACCAGCGAGACAAAGAAAUGGGGAAGGUGGAAUGAAAAAUACUAAUUAAACGCGUUAGAGAAUACGUAUAAUUUCGUUAGCUUGUGUCGUUAAAUGUGUGUUAUAACAAAACACCGAUAUGUAAAUAUACACCGAUUGAAAAGUAAAAAGCAGACAGAUACCCUGCGCAAUUACUCAAUGUGAAUGUAUCUCAAAUUGCAACUGAUAUGCCUUGGUAUCCAGGUAUACUAUAGAAUUACAGCUUAGCCAUCGUAUAAAGAAUCGUACGUUUGACAAAUAUCGCGUAGGAUAUACAUGGAUAAUAGCAAACUAUUGAAAAGAUUGUUGUAAUCUUUAUGGCUGAUGAUUAGCGGUUCGUGUCUCAAUCUAUCGAUUGGGGUUAGGUUGCAUUCAAGAUCGUAUAUACAAUAUCACUGUUAUAAAAUUCAAACUGACUUUAAUGCUAUUCAUUCGUUGUUCUUUCCAAAUUUCAAAGACGUUCAAGUCAAUCCUGCUACGAUCCUCGAAUAUAUACGUAUACACUACACUAAAAAAUUAAAAGAUCUUUAAAUUUUGAUCGAAAACUUGUCGAUAUUUGAACCAAUGUAACUUUGUCGAUAAGAAUCGUACAAUACUCUACUUGAGCUCGUUUCAAAGGACAAAUCGUCUACUUUCACGCCCUUAAACGUUAAUUUUGUCAAGGAUUCUUUUUUGUUACGAAAUAGAGUAGGAAAUUAAAGUUUUAUUUGUUUCCUUUUUCAAAUUUUAAUUUCGUAUUGUUUAGUAGUACAUGUGCACUUUUGUAUGAUUACAAAAAUUUUAUACUAUAAAAAAUGAAACGAAAAACCCUGCCAGAGGCACUUCAUUGGGAAAUAAUGUGUCAAUACUUUUUGUAACAUCUGUGUCCAUUUCAAUGUAUACUAGAAAGAACUGAUGCUACAAUGAAUAAGAUUCAAGAAUCAAUUAUUUCGUUCUAACAUAUCCUGUUGCGUGUAUAAAGAUGCGAGUAUUUUGUCUAUUUCAAUUAAGUUACCUUAUCUUGAAUCCGUUAAUAAAGUCAUAUUUGGUUCCAAGUAAUUUGGAAAAAAAUUCUGCGAAAACGUGAAUGUAAGUAGCUUCGCAAGAUCAAAAAUAACAAAAAUGGGAAACGAGGGCGUGGAGAGUAGAAGGGGUAGAAGGCGACGCGACGGAAAGAAUAAACAAGUACAAAGUGAGAGGGAACGCGAUCAGACGACCACUGCCGGUUGCAGUUGUUACGCAAUUGACAUUGGCAAAUUGUAACAGAACAAGCACGGCCAAGAACUUCGAGAUUUCAUAAGCACGCCGGAGGCGAAGGAGUGUAUUAUAAUUUGGUAAGAUGACGUAGCAAAAUGACUUGUUCGUUUUCUAAAUCUUUAGCCAUUAAUAAUUUAUAUGUAUCUCCCGCGUUCAACAUGAUAGUCACAAUUUCUAAUAAAAAGAAUAACGAAA